UGCAUGAAGUCGGAAUUGCUAGUAAUCGUAGGUCAGCAUACUACGGUGAAUACGUUCCCGGGCCUUGUACACACCGCCCGUCAAACCAUGAGAGUUGGCAACACCCGAAGUCGGUAGUCUAACCGCAAGGAGGACGCCGCCGAAGGUGGGGUUGAUGAUUAGGGUUAAGUCGUAACAAGGUAUC
rnacentral:rRNA from 1 species